rnacentral:rRNA from 1 species
AUUGACCGCUAGCAGGAUGCCUUCGUAAUGCAAGUCGAACGUGCAUGCACGUACAUCGGUCUGAGUGCGAGUGCGAACGGGUGAGUAAUAAAUCGGAACGUGGUCAGUAGCGGGUGAUAACUAGCUCGAAAGAGUAGCUAAUACUCGCAUACGUGCUACGGGGGAAAGGGGGGGAUCGCAAGACCUCUCACUAUUGGAGCGCCCGAUAUCGGAUUAGCUAGUUGGUGGGGUAAAGGUACCACAAGGCGACGAUCCGUAGCUGGUUUGAAAGCACGACCAGCCACACUGGGUCUGAGACUCGGCACAGACUCCUACGGUAGGCAGCAGUGGGGAAUUUUGGACAAUGCAGGAAUCCCUGAUCCAGCCAUACCGACGUGUGCGAUGAAGCACUUCGGGUUGUUGCGCACUUUUGGCAGG